GGGCUAUCUUUUUCUCUCUUUUUUUCAGAUGGGUAGUAGACACCCCUAAUUCUAUUGUCGGACACUUGUCCAUUUUUUCCGCUCAAGUGGGCAUCUUUGUACCCCUAAUUCUACUCCGGACACUUGUCCAUUUUUACCUCUCGUCUCACUCUUUUUCUUUCUUUUUCGAGGUUCCGGGCACUUGCCCCUUUUUAUUUCCUCGUAUAUUUUUGCAUAACCCAUGCCUCUUCUGCAUUGAAUCUUUUUAGAGAGAGAGAAUAACAAUAUUUGGGACAGUGAGUGAUAAUAUUUUUAGCAAUUUUAAUAAAUGGUGAUGGAUGGUGUAGUAGAUGUGUGCAAGUGAAUAUCUUAAUUUAACCACAUGAAAAGCUCCUAAGGGUCUACACAGCUCGAUCAAACUCAAUGUGAAUAUAAGUAAAAGAUAUUAUAGCAAGUAUGGCUGUGGUAGGU
rnacentral:lncRNA from 1 species